GAUUCUGGCUCAGGAUGAACGCUGGCGGCGUGCCUAACACAUGCAAGUCGAGCGGAGAUAAGUUGAAGCCUAGCGAUUCUUAUCUAGCGGCGGAUGGGUGAGUAACACGUGGGUAACCUGCCCUGUACUGGGGGAUAACAGCUGGAAACGGCUGUUAAUACCGCAUAUGCGCACGGAGCCGCAUGGCCCUGGGCGGAAAGAUUCAUCGGUACAGGAUGGGCCCGCGCCGGAUUAACUUGUUGGCGGGGUAACGGCCCACCAAGGUGAUGAUCCGUAGCCGACCUGAGAGGGUGACCGGCCACAUUGGGACUGAGACACGGCCCAAACUCCUACGGGAGGCAGCAGUGGGGGAUAUUGCACAAUGGGGGAAACCCUGAUGCCAGCGACGCCGCGUGAAGGAAGAAGUAUUUCGGUAUGUAAACUUCUAUCAGCGGGGAAGAAGAUGACGGUACCCGCACAAGAAGCCCCGGCUAACUACGUGCCAGCAGCUGC
rnacentral:rRNA from 1 species